rnacentral:rRNA from 1 species
CCUACGGGAGGCUGCAGUGAGGAAUAUUGGUCAAUGGACGCGAGUCUGAACCAGCCAAGUCGCGUGAAGGAAGACUGCUCUAUGGGUUGUAAACUUCUUUUAUAUGGGAAUAAACUCAUCCACGCGUGGCAUUCUGUAUGUACCAUACGAAUAAGGAUCGGCUAACUCCGUGCCAGCAGCCGCGGUAAUACGGAGGAUUCGAGCGUUAUCCGGAUUUAUUGGGUUUAAAGGGUGCGUAGGCGGAUUGAUAAGUCAGUUGUGAAAGUUUGAGGCUCAACCUUGAAAUUGCAGUUGAAACUGUCAGGCUAGAGUACAGUAGAGGUAGGCGGAAUGCAUGGUGUAGCGGUGAAAUGCUUAGAUAUCACGAAGAACACCGAUUGCGAAGGCAGCUCACUGGACUGCAACUGACACUGAGGCACGAAAGUGUGGGGAGCAAACAGGAUUAGAUACCCUGGUAGUC